rnacentral:lncRNA from 1 species
CCCAGUGAAGGGCUCGGUGGUUGGGCGGGGGGACUUCCCCGCAGCCCAGGCCAGAGAUCCGCCCUUGUACGGAGCUCUGAGCCCCCGCUGCCAAGGACACUUCCAGAAACCCCCCCGCUGCAGCCAGGACCUUUGGAGAAAUCUUGCCCAAAAGAUCUGGCGAGGAGCCCCACCACAGAUGAGCAGAUACAUCCCAGCCUCUUGUCAUUGAAAAGUUUUUCCUGAAUAUCAGAAAGGGAGACAGAACAUAAAGACUCCUAACUCUGGGAAACGAA